AGAUGGAAGCUUUACAACUAAAAUCCAGCAGACCAUCACUCUGUCAGACACACAUGAUGGAAAGAAGAUCAGCUGCUCUGCCAGAUAUCCUGUGAACCAAGGAAAGACACCAAGACAGCAGAGACAGAAGAGACUCUCAGUGUUUCAUAUGUUCCUAAAAACACCUCAGCAUCCAUCAGUCCAUCAGGUUUGGUGUCAGCAGGCAGCUGGGUGAAGCUGACCUGCUCCAGCAGAGCCAAACCUCCAGUCAGCAGCUUCACCUGGUUCAAGAAGAGCAGAGAUGGAGCUGUGAAAGUAUCUGAAGGAGAGAUUUACAGCUUCAAUGUAACAGAUGGAGGAGUUUAUUACUGUGUGGCCACUAAUGAUCUGGGUAAUCAGACAUCAGCAGAGAUUCAUGUGACUGUUGCAGGACAUCAGAAUAGUGGUUCUUUACCACUGAGUCUGCUUCUUGGAGGCAUCCUUGGGUUCAUCUUACUGAUCUGUUUGAUUAUCUUUGCUUUCACAGCUCUCAGGUUGUUAAAGUACCAAACUCAGCAAGAGACUCAGAGUCAAACAAGUGAAGAGCUGGUUGUUGAAGAGCCGACAAGUAAAACAGAAGGAGGGAAGAAAACAUCCAUUAUGGAGAGAUCAACUUCUCUGUGCUGGGAUAUGAAGCAUCCUCUGUCUCAGUGCAGGACACAGGACAGCAGCAGGAUACGGUGUACGCACAGGUGAAAGUCAACAAGCCAAAAAACAGCUUAACACAGAGAGCUCGUGGCCAAGAGGAACUCUACGCUGAGGUCAGAAAAAGUGAGAACAGCUGUGUUAAGACAUUAACAAAGAAAUACAGAGAUCAAUGAAGUAAACCCAACAAACCACUUCCUGCACAUUUUGGGGGGUUUUCUGCUUUCCUUUAAAACUUCAUUUAGCUGCUUUCAUAUCUGUCUCACUAGUGGAAUAAAGUUUUUCUAAGAUUUCUGGAAACAUCACUGGAUCAGAAACAUCACCAGCAUGAUGUUGAGAGUUCACCUGUAAAGUGAUAAUCUGACCAGCUCUCAUUAAGGUUGCCAGUCAGAUACUUCCAGAUCACCUCACUUCAUUAGGAAUCUCCCUCUAAUCAAAUAUU